GGAAAAGGUAUUGAAAAUAUGAAAAUAAAGUGUUAUUUGGCUGGAGUGAGGUCUCAUGGCCGUUUAUGCGGUGGCGUGCUGCUCAGGACAGGUCAAGAAGAUACUGGUAUGUGUACUAAGGAAAACAGCUUCGUUUACAUGCAACCUGUUGUACAUGAGAAAGCAUUCUUACAUACAUUUCUUCAAAAAGAUUAUGGGACACCAACCAAAACAAGAACCAUUGGAGAUGCUCGUUACUCUUUGAAAGCUUACAGCGGAAUGAAUUCAAAUACGACUUAUUUGAGGAAUUGAAGUUGACUUUAUGGAGCUGAUAAGAAUCUUCUUGGAAAAAAAAAGACUGCGUAUAUUUUCUUUUUUUAUUAUUUAUUUAUUUUUUUAUUAUACUGUAAGUUAUAGGGUACAUGUGCAUAAUGUGCAGGUUUGUUACAUAUGUAUACUUGUGCCAUGUUGGCGUGCCGUAAAUAUAUACCGUAAAAAGAUAUAUAUUUUCAAUACACUUUCCUUAAAAGGAUAUAUAUUUUCAAUACACUUUCCUUUUACGGUCCCUUACCUGUGGAAAGUAAAGAAUGUCACUUUCUGACAGGCCCAGGAACCUCAAGUUAUGUGGGGAUCUCAGGAAGACGGGGGAAUUCACCCAGUUCAUGCAGGUGAAAUUGCUGUUGCCAAGAUUACGAAUCUGAGAGAAGUCCAGCAUGGCUGACUUCAUCUCAUGUCUGGCCUCAGGCCGGCUGCCCUUGCUCACUCUUGGCCAUAGGCCAAGCUAGCCGUGGGAGGAAUUUAGUUUAUAGUUUAACUUUGAAGCAAGGAUGAUAAUACUGUCUCCCUAACAUGAACCCCUUCCUUGCUCAGGGACUGAAACUACCUUUGUAAGACAAAUGAAAGCCCACAAGAUUAGGAUUAUGAGAGGGGCCUGAAUUAUGCUAAAAUGCAGGUGUAGCUGACUGAUAACCAGUAUUGUCCCACAGCUUGCCUUUCUAUAAUCUCUUGCUCCUCAGGAGUCACAUGGCCAGAGGUCCUGAGAUUUCUGGUCCUGUGACCCCCACCCAGAGAUGGACUUAGUGCAUGAGGACCAUUUUCCGCACCCCUAUGAUUUCAUCCUCAAACAAUCAGCAGCACCCAUUCCCUAGCCCCCUGCCUGCCAAACUAUCCAUAAAAAUCCUGGCCCCUGAGUUAUUAGGGAGAUUGAUUAAUAAUCCCAGCCCUACCCCUUGGAUUGCUCUGAUUUAAUUAAACCUCUACUGCAAUACCACGGACUCAGUGAAUUGGUUUUGUCUGUGCAAUGGGCAAGAAGAACCUGUUGGGUGGUUAUACAGGUACUACAAGCACAGGCUGAUGGCAAAUUAUUGGUUUUGCUUCCUGCCCUUGGUGUUUCUAAACAUCUAGUCCAAAAUUACUCCUAAAAUGUCCAGCAAAGCCAAUUUUAAAAGAGGCUAUAUGGCCAAUCACUAUUCUUUCUGCACAUCAUUGCAAAUAAUCAGGUUACGGCUGGGCACGGUGGCUCAUGCCUGCAAUCCCAGCACUUUGGGAGGCUGAGGCAGGUGGAUCACCUGAGAUCAGGAGUUCGAGACCAGCCUGGGCAACAUGGUAAACCCCUAUCUCUACU